AUAAAUUUUCAAAAAUCGAAACAACGCUUGAAGUGUCAAAUGUCAAAUUGAUAACCAUUUUUUUUUAGGUUAUGUUGCUUUUUGGUUCGAUUGAGUACUCUUUAUUUAUCCAAUGUUUAUGAAUUCUAAUUUAAAGAUUUACGAAAAUUGCAUUUAAAUUAAUAAAAAAUUAAUCAAUAAAAUUAAUUUAUUAAAUUAAUUAGUUUUUACGAAAUAAAUCGUUUAAUAAAUCGAAACAACGCGUCAAGUGGCAAACUUCAAAUUGGUAACCAUAAAAAGUGGUAAAUUUAUUUAUUUAAUCAUUAAAAAUGCCUCCAACUAUCCAAAACGGGAUUGCAACAAUGUAUGGAGCACUUUUAAAAAUAAAUUAAAGAAAUUAAUAAUAAUACGAAGUGAUUUUAAUUUUUUUUUUAGGUUAUGUUGCUUUUUGUUUCUAUUGAGUCCUCUUUAUUUAUCCAAUUUUUAUGAAUUCUAAUUGAAAUAUUUAUGAAAAUUGCAUUUAAAUUAAUAAAAAAUUAAUUAAGCUAAAAUUAAAUUAAUUAGUUUUUACGAAAUAAAUCGUUUAAUAAAUUUUAAUAAAUCGAAACAACGCCGGAAGUGUCAAACAAGUGUCAAACGUCAAAUUGAUAACCAUAAAAAGUGUAGAAGUUAUUUAUUUAAAGUGCUUCCAACUAUCCAAAAAAGGGGAAUAACACCCAAACGGAUAAAAUUCCCGUGAAACCUGCCUAAGGAGAACGAUAAUCCCAAUUGAUUUUAAAGUUAAAUAUUGCAACACCGUUCCAGACAUUCCGUUUGUGUUGUAUAUGUAAAUUUCUUUAAUUAUAACGCAUUAAAUACAUCAUAUUAAUAAAUUAACUUAAUGUA